rnacentral:rRNA from 1 species
CCUACGGGAGACAGCAGUGAGGAAUAUUGGUCAAUGGGCGAAAGCCUGACGCAGCGACGCCGCGUGAGGGAUGAAGGUCUUCGGAUCGUAAACCUCUGUCAGCAGGGAAGUACGGUCACUGUGCUAAUCAGCAGUGAAUUGACGGUAUCUGCAAAGGAAGCACCGGCUAACUCCGUGCCAGCAGCCGCGGUAAUACGGAGGGUGCGAGCGUUAAUCGGAAUUACUGGGCGUAAAGCGCUCGUAGGUGGUAUGUCAAGUCAAGGGUGAAAUCCCCGCGCUCAACGGGGGAACUGCCUUUGAAACUGGCAGUCUGGAGUGUGUGAGAGGUUGGUGGAAUUCCAGGUGUAGGAGUGAAAUCCGUAGAUAUCUGGAAGAACAUCGAUGGCGAAGGCGACUAUCUGGCACAUAACUGACGCUGAGGAGCGAAAGCGUGGGUAGCAAACAGGAUUAGAUACCCUUGUAGUC